ensembl:lncRNA
CACUAUUACUUAUUUAACUACCCUUCUGAAUUAUUUAUUGUUUAUUCCAAAUGAUCUUUUUUUCAAGUGUACACUUUCAGCUUGGGUUUCCCAUGUGAGCGCUACCAGCGGCAGAUGAUUUGGACAGCCAAGUUCAACUGGGAUGAGUUUGUAAGAGGGGAACGAGCUGCUGCCGGUGCGUAACUACUGCAGGGGGUUGGGGGGAAGAAAAUGUUGAUGAUGGCGUUACUGACAUCAAAGAAUCAGUACACCAAAGUCAACAGCCAAGUAGCAUUAAACACCCAAUGAAAGACGGACACGGACAAACACUCUCUCAAACUCACUUACUCUCCACGUCUCUGUUCCUGAAACACUCAGGGUCCGUGGAGAGAGAUAAAUUAUGAGCCUAGUGGCUUUUUGAAGUCUGCUCGGCAUCAACACCAAUAAACACCAACCACGGCCCGCCUCCCCGCUCCUAAAUUAAAGUACUUAUUACCCCCAGUGUGACUUGGCCAUGUGGACCGUAGCUGCACUGCUCCUGGGCCGGGCUGAAGGCAGUGAGAACAAGCGGAGCAUAUGUCCACUAAUGGAAUAAAGACCUCGGGUAUUUUCAAGCUGAAUGAUUUACGGUGAUGCAUGGUGACCCCUCACAAUUCACUAGUCAAAACUGCGUGUCUUCCUCACUGCCUGACACACGUCUCUUAACGGAUACGAAUCUUUCUUCCCUUCCAUAAUGUUUGUUUGUUUGAGAGCAUUUUCAUACUUCUUCUGCGACACACACUUCAAAUUAAUCAUCGUCACUGAAAUAUUCCCGCUGAUAAUUGAAACCACGCAUAAGCUCUUCAGUUUGUUGGAUAUUGUAACACAAUGCCUCUAUUUGAGUUCUGGGUCAGUUAUGCAAGAUCACUUUCUGCAAAUCUGUAAACCAAUAAAAGCGAUUGGCACUUUUAUAAAAAUGAAAUGCCACAGCACCAAGUACAAAAAGAUUUUGCCAGCUUAAAACAAAAGGAUUGAGAAGUGUGCCAAAGCACACUGAAGAGAGUAGAGUGAAGUUGAAGGAGAGCUCUUUCUCUUGGAGUAUGCUUUAAACUAGUGCCAAGGCCCUUUCUGGUCCCAUUGCACUGCAUCUGCCUCGGGGGAAAGUCGAGGUGCAGAGUCCACACCUCUCUUUGUCUAGUCUGCUCUCCUCUCCUCUCCUCUCCUCUCCUCUCAUCUUGCCUGACACACAACUGUCUGGCCUCCGCAGCAGGGAGAUUGUAUAAUUCCAGUGCGUAAAACUGUCUUUUACGGCAUUGUAAAGAUUUACCAUUGGAGUAAAUAAAGGUGGGAGAACAGGGCUUUUAAAUGAAACCCAAUCAAUAUGUCAGAGGGAGCUGCAGCAGAGGACAGGGCCGUGUCUGACGCCACACACAGGUGGACGGUGCAGAUCUGUGAGCAGUUCAACUGGGAAUACCAGGAUGUACUCUCAAUGUCUUAGAAAACUGACCAACAAAACCUCAACAUGAGCAAUAAUUCUGGUAUUUGGAUGGAAAACUGCAACACAAAGAAUACACACACACAGUUAAAGUUAAAGGCCUCAGGUCAGGAGCUUGUCAAAGAAGAUAAGAUCUAAAACUUCUAUGGUAUAUUAUAUCACAUUAUCAAAGAUGCAUAAUAUCAAUACACAAAUGCACACCAACACAUGCUGGCAUAAACUAAGCACUUAGCUCCCUACACGCACGCACACAUGCGCUGGUGUACAGAGAAAUGCAGACAUGCAAUAAAUUUCAAGCCUUGUGAAAGCAGGGUUGGCACUCUCUCUCUCUCUCUCUCUCUCUCUCUCUCUCUCUCUCUCUCUCUCUCUCUCUCUUUCUCUCUCUCCCUCACACACACACACACACACACACACACACACACACAGCCCCUAUGGACACUCACACAUUCACAAAGCGACACCCCAGCCUCAUGAGCAAUAAAUCGUACAGCCCAUCUAACAAGUUCAUUUCCGGAGGCCAGAGAGGAUGGGUCCUCUGACUUUGGAGUCAGCAGCCUUGUGAGGAUCAAUGGCAAGAGACGGAGAGCGAGGGGCAAGGAAUCGAGCUGAGAUACAAAAAUCAAUCAGCAAUUUAAUGGCUUUGGGAGGGGAAGACGGGAAAAAGAGGGCAGGGGAGAAUUCCACUGCUUUUUUACUUAAAAAAGCAACACUUUGAUUUAACCCUUUGACAUAUAGCAUACAUCUCUGAGUUUUAUUGAAGCUUUCCUCUAUGACAAGAGCGGCUCCAAUGGGAGCAGAUCUAUUUUCAGACUUAAGAUCACACAACUGCUGGUUCUCUCUGCAGUCUGAGAUGAGACGUGGUUAAUGUGUCAGGAAUAGACUUAAGGAAGAUUUGAGAAUUUUCAUUGUUGAGCUUCAGCUUAUAACUAUGUGCAUGCUUUUUUCAAAGCUUCUACAUGGCCACUAUGCUGCAGGACGGCCUCAGCAACUGAAAGAUGCAGAUGAAUCCGUUCUUCUGGCUGGUGCUUUGAGGUCAGGGGUGAUGGUGAAAGUCCUGGAUGGAGGAACAUUUCUGUGGGGGAAGUGGUUGAUUUGAGGCUGGGUGGAACUCUUUUAGGUCAAUGUCCGAGGCUUGAGAGUGACAAUGUCGAACUAGCAAGCUUUAGAGUAAUAAUAUGACUGACAGCCUCGGGCUGCAGAAUCGAACAAAUGGAUCCUCCAAGGGGAAAAAAGCAAGCCAGCUGGGAAAAAGAAACAUAGGUCUUUUCCUCAAAUCCGCUUGGCUAGAGGAAUGGACUUAUAGGAAAAGUGUUUCUGUGAAUGCCUUUAGUGUCCUUAUUUAGCAAUUGUGGCUGUGUGUGUUAAAAUACUUAAUAAUAAUGAAUGUAGAUGAUAUAGUGAAUUUUCCCAAAAUGAGCACAUUUUGUAUAUAAUACUAAAGGCUUAUUUUGCAUACUUAAGUCUGUGGUUGUUUACCCAAGCUAUUGUUGCUGUAUGUAAAAGAGUGCACUCGUGUGAUGUGCACAUGUGUGUCCACAUGCACAUAUUUUUUUGUCUGUGUGUGUGUGUGUGUGAGUGCUAGAUUGGUGGGGCGUAACAGGCUGAUUCCUGCAGAACUCAGGCAUUGCUGAAACUUAGCAACAGGAGCCAGGGGCCUCCUUCCCCGGAGAGGCUGACUGCCGAGCCACAUUCAUUACCAAACCAGAAUCUUGGGCUAGAUUAAAAAUUCAUGCUGUUUACAAAAACAAAAGCCCCCCUCGUCCCCCGGCUUUUAGAAGAAUAUGAACCCUUCUGAACAAUGGCUCCACCAAACCGUGAGCAGAUCGCUGACAUCUCUAAGGAGACCAGCGAUUCUGUGUCAGUGUGUGUUCAAAUUUAUGUGCCGCCAACAACUAGUGUUGUGCUUUCUCAGUGUAUGCACACACCCUGGCAGGUAAAUUUAAAUAAUGAUACUGUUUACUACAGCAGGGAGGGAAAACAGCUUAGGGGCACUGGAUUAAGGACACGAUUGCCUCGAAGUCUUGUGCCUCGUCGUGCUGUUUACACCCAUAAUGAAGGAGCAUGUAUUCUCAACGUGCCGAGUAUGUGUAUGGAGGUGCCAGUGCGCUUUCCUAGCAAUGAGCUGGAUUUUGUGCCGAGUGUGUGACCGUGCCUCCGCUCGGCUUAUUGACAAAUGACUGUGCUGUUGGCUGAUUUGUUGGCAAAAGGGUCUUGCUUAUGAGCUCUAUUCGGUGUUAAUUAGCACACACCACUUUGAUCGGUAUAUCAGGUUCCUGGGGUGACAUCUGAUUGCAUUGUCUCUGUGUGCAGCUUCACCGAUGGGGGAGCACCACACACAUUGGGUACACACACACACACAAAUUCCUGUCAUUAGAUCACACACGUAUACCUAAGGACAUACUGAAAAAAGCAUACUGCCCCGCAUUAGUGCGCCCAAAAAUAAAAUGUUGAGAGGCUCUGAUAGACAGGGAUAGCAAAGGGCAAAGCACAGGGGUGCACAGCCAGGGGGGGUCACAUGAACAGCUACCCCGCCAUUCCUUUAAUGCCACACCAAACAGGUGCAAGGUCAAACCGCCACGGCAAUAAUAGAUGCUCCUCAUCGUUCUCAGAAAUAGUUCUCUCAUCGCCGAUAAAUGUUUAGCUAAGAUUGCGUGCUGUUGGUAUUAAGGUGACGUGGGUGAGGUGAGAGGCCAUGUGUGCAAAGGUCAGGGAGAUCUUCUCUGUGUGUGCCCGGCCCUGACCUUUGACCUGUCUUCUCCAGCACAUUGUUGCACUAGCUUGGCCUGUUUGGCUGUUUUCUGUUAUUUCUGCUUGAAAUAAGUUGCGUGCUUCAAAUUCACCUUUAAAUGCUGCCAAAAGGACUUGUCACAGCAGCUCUCUGUUGGGACUAAAGUUUAUAGAAUUGAUAAUAUGGUGUUAUUUCAACAGGACACUGUGUUCUAAUAACUCAAGGCUAUUCCUGACAGGCAUUGGCUCAUGAGCCUAUAGUGACAUUGCGUGGUGAGCAGGAGGGGUGAUUCCCCCCACCCACCUUCCCACCGUCAGUAGUGUCAUGUUUCUGUGGGCUGCUCUCUUGGGGCCCUGGUUCAGGUUUCCGCGUGGUUUUUCAGAGUUCAAAAACUGCCAUCUCCCAGUCCUGGCAUCCAAAUGCAACACUGGCUGAGUGACAGGACACUACCUUUGACUGUCAUGUGCUAUACAGCACUGAGCCUUUCUCAUCAUGGGGCCGUCAUCGGGGGGAGCACAUUUACUGAAAUAGAGGUCCGCUGGAAGAAGUGUGUGUGUGUGUGUGUGUGUGUGUGUGUGUGUGUGGAGCACACAAACAUUCAUUGUGGUUGUUAUUUUGUUUUAAAUGUGCUAGCAGUAUUAGCAGAUUUUAUUCAUCAUGUAUUCAGUGCCACGCUACAUUAAUUUAGAUUCUCUUUAAAGUAUUAACAGUGACUCAAGUUUUACAUAAUGAAUACAUACAUACACCACCUCUGUACUUUUAUCUUUGUUUUAAAUGACCUCAUCGUAACAUGUGAAUUCAUGCCGCAGACAAGGAAUGAGCAUCAGUUAAGCAUGUGCCUUAGGCAAACGCAAAGGAAGUCCUUGAAAUUCACCAUAUUCGGGAAGACUUAAUUAAAGCCCAGGGUUUGUCAUACGGAGUAAUAGAAGAAAAACAUUUCACAAAGCAAUGUGUGUUUGCGUAAAUACAAUUGAUGGUUAAAGAGCGGCCUGAAAAACCUUUCGUUGCGCUUGCUACUUGAUGCAGUGGGUUGUGGGUGGAGACCCACAAUGUGUGGACAUGGGUCCUCUCUCAUCAGAUGUAAAACUAAAGGUUCCCCUGGCAGCAGCUGCAGCACCGUGACGGCUCAUCCUCAUUCAGUCUUCAAGAGACACAGGAGAGGCCACUUGAUAGCAGCGACUGGAUUAAACCAGAGGAAUACGAUCCUGAUGCUAAGCAGGUAAAUGCAAAAGAAUGAGCCGGCCUCUUCUUCACAGAGGAAAGAGCAAUUGGCUUUUGUGUUUGUGAAUCAAGCCGAGAUCAUUCUAUGAAUACUGUCCCCGCUUGCCUCUCUGCGGGAUUGAAAUACCAACUAUCUCUCCAUUCCACCCCUCGUUGCUCUCAGCUCUUUUUGCCAUUGCUCCCUAAAUGCAAGGCCUUAACUUACACAACUUGAAAGGAGAGAUAACACACAAUUUUACACUUGUGUGCACACAAACAAAUAAGGCAAUAUUGAUCGGAGCCACGGCUGCAUUCACACUGAUGCUCCUCUCAAUAGAUCAGUCAUGCUCUUGCCGCUUGCCCUGCUGCAGACCUGCAGUUUAACACCGCUGGCCUUCUCCAAAGGACACAUUUAAUCCACCUGACACCAAACCAGCACCACUAGCAGCACAUACAUUGCACACUGCGCUCCUCAGAGCAAAUCUGAAUGGGUUUUUUACCUGAAUGAUGGCGAUUCCAUUGUUAAUAUUACAAUAACAACAUUUUAUUGAUCUGUACGAGCUCAGUUAUGUAACCGAAAGUCUCAAGAUGGAUGAUCAAAAACAACAAUGCCUAAUUCAAUUUAAAGAAUGUUACUGUUUUACUUUAGAAACAGCAUCCCAUCUUCUAAACACUUCACUGUUGAUUUACAAGUCGUGUUAUUCUGUCUUUUUAAAAAUGUGUUUGUGUUGUCACAUUUGGGGCACAUUGAAUAAACUCUCCUUCAGACCUCAAGCCUCGCUAGUCACACAUACUUAUGAUCCAAAAGACACAUUGUCAGUCUGAAAGUGUUGGAGUGGGAGUUUGCAACAGUCCUGAUUCACGCUUCCACCAACCCACAGAUUGGCUGACGCCUCCGAGGGAGUGCGAGCUGAAUCAUAACGUGACUCGUUCCGCUGCAAAAGGGCCACGAGCAUCCUUCAUCCUCCCUCUGCCUGGUCCUGAGGGUGGACUAAGUGGAUGUACAGAAUGUCAACCAGAAUCGGCACACGUGCCGCUUGUUUUAAUGCUUUUAUAUGUGCUCGCACGCUUUUGAGAAAGACAGAUGCAUACAUGUAAACAUGUGCAUGAUACAAGCAGUAAAAAAGUCAUGUGCACUGCACACGACGUUUUCCCCUAUUUUUCCUAAAUUAACUGAUCACCCUCCCCCCCCCCCCCCCCC